GGAUCGAUGAUGACUUAAAAAAAUGGAAACCUUGGAAAUCUGAACAAAAUGAGUGACCAAGACACUUCUGUGAGCUGAGGUCCAGCACAGGGACCAUACCAGGCAAACCCGUGGAGGGCGUUCAGUUUGGUCAGGAACUGGUACCAAAACGAACCCACUUGCAUAUGUUAGAGCAGAUGAAUUGUACAGAGGCCUAUAUAUCUUCGGGAAUUACAUGACAAUGAUUUAAGUGCAUGGCUGACAGCCUUCAAACACCUAGUAAUCAGGCUUUGGGGUACCAGCGUCAGAGGAGUGAACACUGUAGAAAUGGCUGUGCCAGCACUCGAGUCAUUCACACUAUUUUCGUAGACGCCACAACAUUCUUAAACGGAAGUGAUUUUGGAAUUGCAUGGAAUUCUCACUGCCAUCCCAAAGAAAUGCUGAUCUUGUCACUCUUACCUGUUUCAUUCCCUGGGGGCAGAACAAAAGGACGCACUCCAAAGAUCGGCAUGAACCAAGAACUGGGUUUCAUAUAAAAUAUUUUAUUCUGUCCUCUUGAGAUGUGACAUGAGAAAAGUAUUGAGAAUACUUCUAUCACCUCAUCUUCAAGAAUCCGUAGGAAUUCUCCCAUGGUGGACUUUACGGUUAACCUGAACAGGUCUUGGAAAAAGGACUUUAAACAUUCUCCUGUUCUGUGGAAUAAGUAUACUUUUUUCUGGACAUACACCUUGUCAGUGAGUUCCAUGUGAUACUAGAGUUGCAUAGAUUUUUAACCUUUACGCCAAUGAAGAUCUGAGGCAAACAUUGCCCCUUUUUUAGAAGUUUGCAUUUGUCACUGAUAACUGUAAUAAUUGAUCUUGUUGAAAAGCCUGGGAAAUGAAGAUCUGAUAUGUCACUUUUACCGGCUUCCUCAACUGAAAAAGAAUACAAUGAAACACGCUGAGAAUUUUUGUGCUUUCUCAGUCUUGCUGAUGAUCUUUCUAUGGGCCUGAAGCGUGGAGAGUGCCAGAGAGGCUGAUCCUCAGCAGUGUGGCAGAGGAAAGUUGGGUGCGACUAAGGGGUAUGCGGUGCCCACAUGCCACUGGGUCCUCAGCAGUACCACCUGAUUGGAAGUGAUAUUGGUGGAAGACAACAUUUUGCCGCUUGGAAUUCUCACCUCCACACCAAAGAAGUACUGUUUUUGUCAUUUGCACCAGCUUCUUUCUCCAGGAAAGAUCAAAACGAUGCACUGCAAGUGUGAUUGGUCCAGAUAGCUGCCUUAUCCAACUGCCUCCUUUGGACCACUUCAUCAUGGGACAGCUUGAUGCAAUCUACUUGACAAGACCCUGGAACCCCACACCCCUCAUGGAACCAGUGUCCACCUCCCAGUCACAGUGUGACCCCAGGGAACUCUUGCCUGCUUGCUUUAAACCCACCACUUAAAAGUCUCCACAGAAAACCUGUUUGAAUAGUACCCUUGACCCAAUAAGGGCAUUGGCCCCUGGGUGUCUCUCUCUCUCUCUCUCUCUCUCUCUCCCUCUCUCUCCCUCUCUCUCUCUCGCUCCCUGACCUCUGCGUGUGGACUCCAGGCAUGCCAUAUACCCCUCAGGACCUGAAGCAAAAGAAUGAAUUAAAGAAAACUCCAGAGAAUGAGCUGACAACCUACUCCCUGGUCAGUGGCUCUCCAUGCCUACCUGUGGUCUCUUGGACACCCUUGCAGAAGAUGACUUCCUGGGAACUCUUCUGGGAGUGAAUGUUAUCAGCAAAUUCCCAAAACAACACCCCUUAGACAAAAAGCCUCCUCACCUAUGCAUUGCCUAGACCACCCACUAAAGGUGAUGGCCACAAAGAGGUGGAUUUGUUGAGUUGGUGCCAUUCCUUCUACUGCCAGCUUCACCAAAACAAUGACACAGUCUUCCUUCCGCAUGGAGACUCUUCUCUUUCCUGUGUUGCAGUGGAUGCCUCCUGCAGAUAAGAAAUGCUUAACUGAGAAAUGCUCAUGUUGGGAUAUCAUCGAUGAGACUUUAAUUUGGGCAUGGUGACUGUUUCCCUUGCUGCCACUUGACUCAAUCCCAGGAGCCUCAGUAGAGGAUAUAAUAUUACACAAGAUGCUCAAAAUGGUGGAAUUGCUCAGUGCUCCCAUAAAUAUACAUUUAUAAUUUUCAUUUGCCACAUGGUAAACUGAAAAAUACAGACUAUAUUAAAAAGAAACUGCAUGAUUUUUUUUCAAAAAUUCAAAGCAUAUUUAAAUAAUAUAUAAAUUAAAUGCCCUCCUCUCUUCCAAUUCUGUCCCUAUAGUUUUCCUCUAUUAAGUGAACUACAUGCAUUCUUUUAGUGGAUAGAUGCACACAAACACACAAGCCAUUAUGGGGAAGGAUCCACGUGUGUGGCCAUAUUGUAACACAUUUUUCUGCAAAUCACCUCUUUCAUUUAACAGCCCUUAUUCAAUGGCCUUUUUCUUUUUCAGUAGUACAUACACAUCUGUGUCAUUUGUUGAAUGACGACAUGAAUGUUUUGUAGAUAAAAUAUAAUUAAAUGUUUUAAGCAUUUCUCACUCAUAGAUAUUUAUGUUAGCACCAAAUUUCUGUGCAAUGAACCUCCCUAUAUAUCAGUAAUUUUGCAUUUGUCUAUAAUAUCAUAAUAAAUUACUUAUCAGUUGAAUUACUGGGAUUAAGUAUGUGCACACUUUAUAUUUAUAUUUUGAAAAUUAUUGCAAGAUUGCCUUCAAAAAUGUGGUUAACAACUUUAUCUUCAAAUGGCAAUGAAUGAGAUUGCCAGCUUUCCUACAGCCUCACAGACAAUGGAUUUUAUAAAUAUUUAACAUUUUUGCCAAUGUGAUCACCCAAACUAUUGUCUUAAAUUGUAUCUCUUUUGUUUUUGAGUUUGGUCAUUUUUUCAUGUUUAUUAGCCAUCUGUAUUUUUUAAUUUCUUCUUUAUGUCCAAUUUUGUGGGUGGGAGGAGGAUUUAGUCUCUUCCUGAUUUCGAAGAGCUCAUUUACUAUUUCGGGAAAUAAGAUUUGGAUUGUCAACCAUUAUAGCUAUUUUUUACACACUUUUCAACUUUGUUUUUGUUAUAAGAAUGUGUAUGAUUGUUACAUGUCCAAGUAUAACCAUGUUCGCUUUUAUGGCUUCUGAGUUUCAUGUCAUUUUUGGAAAGAUAUAUAUAUUGAGUCCAUAAAACCCUUCACCUAUGUUAAAUUCUAAUUCUUUUGUGUUUUUUUAAUUCAAAUUCUUAAAUCAUGAGAAAUUUUUUUGUUUUGAAAUCUUAAAGUUGCCAAGUUACUUGCCAUUACUUGCGAUUAUUUGCCAAUAAUUGCCCAUUUAUCUGUACCGCCAUCUUGCGCAUAUGCUGUACUCUCAUCUGUGACUGGCUCCAUUUUUGUUCUGUGGAUUUGUGUGUCUCUUCUUCUGCCUCCUGUCUCGUGUCUGCUCGUUGGAAGAAAUUACAGUUUAGACUGCAAUUUCAUCAACUUUAAUAAAUCAAUUGAGGGGAGAAUUGGUUUUUAAAAAUAUUAAGUAAGUCUUCGUAUCCAAGGACAAGGUAUGUCUUUUCUUAUUCAAUAAUUUUAAUUACUGUUAAUAUUUUCACUGUGGUGAUGGGAGUUUUUCUUUUAAUUUAUUUUCUUGUUCAUUUUUUGUAUCUAAAGUUUUUGUUUUGUUUUGUUUUGGGGGUAAGUUGUCACCUUACUGUUUCUUGUUGCUUUUCAGAUUUUUUCAAAGUAUAGACUAAAUCCUUCACAAAUAUUUAAAGUUUUUAUUUUCCCCCUUCAUAUUGAUCCUGAUUUUAGUUAUGUUGACAAAGUCCACAGACUGUUACUAUCAGAACACUUGAACAGUUAUGGAAAUAUUACCUACCCUUGAUUUAAUCAGAGUUUAAUGGUAUGCUUCUUUGGUUUGACUGGCACAUUGUCGCUGGUCAUUUCCUCCCAAAGACCACCAGAAAGAGCUAUGAUCAAGCAAAGCUGAGUUUGUUAAACUUACCUGCAGCAAGGGAAAACACCACCUUGAUAGGGUUUAAUAAUGUUUCAAAAUCAAGAAAUGAGGCUUUGGGGUCUGGGCAGGGAACUAAUUAGAAAUGGGCAAAAUUUGUCAUGCAAUACCUUGUGGGAAAGUGAGAUGAGGUUCUUAAUGUGAGUAUUGAUGGUGAAAUCAUUUUCUAGGUGAGCUGUUUGCCUAUAUAAAGAUGUUAUCAAUGACAGAAGAACUAUUUGCCUAGAUAAACAAACUGAAUUUAUUUAUUGGUUUACAGUUUUAUCUUGCUGGGCAGGACUCUGCUGGGGGUGGUAUCAGGUCUUAUUCCCAAUAGGUAAGUUAUUUGGAUAUGGGUGGUCUUAAUCAUCAAUGUGUAAAAUGCUGAUUUUAAGUGCGAAAUACUUUGUCUACCAUGUUAGGAAAGUCUGCCACCUUUUAUCUUUUUUAAGGAAUUUUAAUCAAAACCAGGUGGUAGAUAUAAUCAAAUUGUUUUGCAGAAUCAAUUUUCCUGUUCUCUUUAAAGACUUUUAUCACUGUGAAUUAAUUUACUAUUAUUGCAACUUCCUUUAAUUCCUUGAAUGAACAGACCCUACUGGUUUUAAAAAUGUUUUAUUCUUUUAAUUUACUACUUAAUUGUGGGUAUUUUAAUUUGAUUUGGAAUUUUUACAAGUAUACAACUAAGUGAAAUUGAUCUGUGAUUUUUCUUUUUUGUGCUAUUUUUGUCAUGUUUUGAUAUCAGAUAUUCUGGUUGUGUUAAAAUAAUUUUGAGGAUUUUCUUCUUAUACUGUGUUCUAGAGUGGGUAAAAAAGCCCUAGUCUCACUAUCAGUGUUUAAGUGAACACAUCAGUGACAUCAUCUGGACUCUCCUUUGUUUUUGCUGGUUUGGAGUUAGGACAUCUAGAAGUUUUUUUCUUUUUUUCCUUUUUUUGUAUGGUUAUUGCUUGUUCUUUGUUUUGUGUCAAAUUUAACCUGUUUUCUCUUAGCAAAUCACAGCUCAUGCAGAUUUUCAAACACAUUAGCCUUGUUAUACAAAGUGUUCUUUCAUCAUUCUAUUAAAUUUCCAUUUUCAUUCCAGUUAUAGUUAUUUCUGCUGUGCCUUUGUUAAUGAAUAAGUUUAAACAGUGGAUGUUUAGCAUCACUAGCCUUCCCCUUCCAUCUCCCUUAAUCAGGACCUUGGUAUAAUUUAUCAGGUAUUUUUUAAGGUUCUAAUUUACUUAUAUAUAUUGUUUCUGUAUUCUUUUGUUUCUUUUCUUAAUAAAUUCUUAAA
rnacentral:lncRNA from 1 species